CAAUAGCCCUGAUGGAAAUGAAAAUCCCUUUUGGGUACCUGUAAUUGUUGGUAUAGAAUAAUUCCCAAAAGGAUUGGAAUGUACAGCAGGACCGGAA
rnacentral:sRNA from 1 species